CGCGGGGUGGAGCAGUUUGGYAGCUCGUCGGGCUCAUAACCCGAAGGUCGUCGGUUCAAAUCCGGCCCCCGCAACCA
rnacentral:tRNA from 1 species